rnacentral:rRNA from 1 species
GCCACUCAUUUAAAGAGUGCGUAAUAGCUCACUAGUCGAGAGAUCCUGCGCCGAAAAUGUCCGGGGCUCAAACUUACCACCGAAGCUACGGGUUCGCACUUUAGUGCGAGCGGUAGAGGAGCGUCGUAAUCGGGCUGAAGUCGUACCGUAAGGAGCGGUGGACUGAUUACGAGUGAGAAUGUUGGCAUCAGUAGCGAGAUGUAAGUGAGAAUCUUACAGGCCGAAAAUCUAAGGUUUCCUGGGGAAGGUUCGUCCGCCCAGGGUUAGUCGGGACCUAAGCCCAGGCCGAAAGGCGUAGGUGAUGGACAAUUGGUUGAUAUUCCAAUACCACUAUUAUCGUUAUUAUCGAUGGUGUGACGGAGAAGGAUAGGAUGUGCUAGCCGUUGGUGGUGCUAGUCUAAGCAUUUAGGGAGUCAGAAUAGGCAAAUCCGUUCUGACAAUCCUGAGGUGUGAUGGGGAAGGUCAUUUUGACCGAAGUAUCUGAUUCCAUGCUUCCAAGAAAAGCAUCUAGAGAGAGAAGUAGUGCCCGUACCGCAAACCGACACAGGUAGAUGAGGAGAGAAUCCUAAGGCCAUCGGAAGAAUUGCAGUUAAGGAACUAGGCAAAUUGACCCCGUAAGUUCGCGAGAAGGGGUGCCUGCGAGAGCAGGCCGCAGAGAAUAGGCCCAAGCAACUGUUUAGCAAAAACACAGGUCUCUGCUAAAGCGUAAGCUGAUGUAUAGGGGCUGACGCCUGCCCGGUGCUGGAAGGUUAAGGGGAACACUUAGCGCAAGCGAAGGUGUGAACUUAAGCCCCAGUAAACGGCGGCCGUAACUAUAACGGUCCUAAGGUAGCGAAAUUCCUUGUCAGGUAAGUUCUGACCCGCACGAAUGGCGUAAUGACUUGGGCACUGUCUCAACUGCAAAUCCGGCGAAGUUGUAGUGCGAGUGAAGAUGCUCGCUACCCGCGAUUGGACGGAAAGACCCCGUAGAGCUUUACUGUAGCUUAGCAUUGAGUUCCGAUAUUGUCUGUACAGGAUAGGUGGGAGACUGGGAAACUAGGGCGUCAGCCUUAGUGGAGUCAUCCUUGGGAUACCACCCUGACAGUAUUGGGAUUCUAACUGGACACCAUGAAUCUGGUGACAGGACAUUGUUAGGUGGGCAGUUUGACUGGGGCGGUCGCCUCCUAAAAUGUAACGGAGGCGCCCAAAGGUUCCCUCAGAACGGUCGGAAAUCGUUCGUAGAGUGCAAAGGCAGAAGGGAGCCUGACUGCGACACCCACAAGUGGAGCAGGGACGAAAGUCGGGCUUAGUGAUCCGGUGGUACCUCGUGGGAGGGCCAUCGCUCAACGGAUAAAAGCUACCUCGGGGAUAACAGGCUGAUCUCCCCCAAGAGUCCACAUCGACGGGGAGGUUUGGCACCUCGAUGUCGGCUCGUCGCAUCCUGGGGCUGAAGUAGGUCCCAAGGGUUGGGCUGUUCGCCCAUUAAAGCGGCACGCGAGCUGGGUUCAGAACGUCGUGAGACAGUUCGGUCCCUAUCCGUCGCGGGCGUAGGAAAUUUGAGAGGAGCUGUCCUUAGUACGAGAGGACCGGGAUGGACUGACCUCUGGUGCACCAGUUGUUCUGCCAAGAGCAUGGCUGGGUAGCUAAGUCGGGAAGGGAUAAACGCUGAAAGCAUCUAAGCGUGAAGCCCCCCUCAAGAUGAGAUUUCCCAUAGCAUAAGCUAGUAAGACCCCUUGAAGAACACAAGGUUGAUAGGUUAGAGGUGUAAGUGUGGUAACAUAUUUAGCUGACUAAUACUAAUAGGUCGAGGGCUUGACCA